rnacentral:lncRNA from 1 species
UAUGUAAUUGUGUAAAUCCUAAGUAGAGAUAAAAUAGGAAUCCUUUGGGAUCUAGAAGAUCUUCCCUAAUAUACUUUGUAUUACUUGGAGAGCAAGUUUCUCUCCUCCUAAUUACUAUAAAUAAAGGCACAAGGACUGGGGAAUUAACACACAAUUCCUCAAGUCUAUUCUCCAAUCUCUCUUCUUCUCUUUGCCGCACAUCUCUGUAAAAUAUAGGCCACAACAACAAUUAGUAUAUUUAUAUUUAUGGCUAAAUUUUAUCAUAUAUUUUUAUUGUUAGUUUGUACCUAUUUUUAAUUUGCAAAUAUUUUUUAAUUUGUACCAAUUUUCUUUUCAUUUUUAAUUUGUACCCAUAUAUUAGUUUCUUUUUGUGCCCAUAUUUUUUAAAGUUUUAUUUGUGUUUGUACCCAUAUGUAUACCGUCACGUGACAUUGUAUAUUUAAUCAAUGAUAGAAAAAUUACAUAUAGUAUAUUUAUGUUUUAUGCCUAAACUUUGUAUCAUAUAUUUAUAUUUUUAGUUUGUACCCACUUUUAAUUUGCAACAUUUUUUUUUAAUUUGUAGUAUUUUCUUUUUAGUUUUAUUUUGUACUCAUGUAUUAAUUUCUUUUAGCGCCUAUAUUUUUUAAAAUUCAUUUGACUAAGGAAAGCAGGAAGAGUUUUGAACCAAAGACAUUGUGUA